AGGUGGCAGAGUCUCGCUCUGUCCCUCAGGCUGGAAGGCUUACAAAGCAGGAGGUAAGCGCAAUGGCCUUUUCCUACACAAAGCACAAGAAAGAAGGCACCUCGGAGUCAGUAUUCCCCUAGGCUCUCUAAGUCCUAGCAGUUCCCAGGCAGCAGAAAGCCCCCCUUAGGGAGCCAGGACUCAGAGGCAAGUGGGAGGCCCCUCAUCCUCACAUUAAAGGAAUCCACGCUCCAGGGAGCAGACAGAGC